GACGAACGCUGGCGGCGUGCUUAACACAUGCAAGUCGAACGGAAAGGCCCUGCUUUUGUGGGGUGCUCGAGUGGCGAACGGGUGAGUAACACGUGAGUAACCUGCCCUUGACUUUGGGAUAACUUCAGGAAACUGGGGCUAAUACCGGAUAGGAGCUCCUGCUGCAUGGUGGGGGUUGGAAAGUUUCGGCGGUUGGGGAUGGACUCGCGGCUUAUCAGCUUGUUGGUGGGGUAGUGGCUUACCAAGGCUUUGACGGGUAGCCGGCCUGAGAGGGUGACCGGCCACAAUGGGACUGGGAUACGGCCCGGACGGAUACGGGAGGCAGCAGUGGGGAUUGGUGCACACUGGGCGGAGGGCGGAUGCAGCAACGCCGCGUGCGGGAUGACGGCCUGCGGGUUGUAAACCGCGUUCGCCUGGGACGAAGCGUGAGUGACGGUAAUGGGUAAAGAAGCACCGGCUAACUACGUG
rnacentral:rRNA from 1 species